GAGCUAAACGCGCAUAUGGUGUAUUCGCGUGCGUCGCAUAGCACGUAUUAAAUGCGCGUUUAGGGGUGAUAGGCUUUUCAAACGUUCGUAUAACUUGUUUCAUAUGAAAAGUAUUUAGUACCUAAACAAAUUUGAAAAGUUAAGCUUUUAAAUUAUUAUUAAAGAUAUUAUUCCCUUGUAGUGUAGUUUAAUAGCUAUCUACAUAGUAACUUAACAUUAAGUAUGUUAGUUUAUAUAUUAUAGUAUGACUUUAACAAUUUUGUUAAUAAAUUGAAAAUGUUAGUAUUAGUAAUAUUAGUAUGUGUGCUAAAGGAACUCGGCAAAAAACCGCUCAACUGUUUAUCAAAAACAUAGCUAUAUGAAUUAGUAUAUAGUUGUUUCUGCUCAAUGACUUAAAUAGCCGCAGUACUCUGACUGUGCAAAGGUAGCAUAAUCAGUUGGCUUUUAAUUAAAGUCUGGUAUGAACGAAAAUAUGGGUAGUAACUGUCUUAGCACAUUUCUUUGAACUUGUUAAACAAGUGCAAAUGCUUGUAAUUAAACAAUAGACGAGAAGACCCUAGAAACUUGGACAUAUUUUUGUUGGGGCGACAGAAUUACAUUUAACUAAUCUUCUAAUACACGACGCGAUGCUGAAAGAAUAAGUUACUCUAGGGAUAACAGCAUAAUUUCAUUAGUUUGUGACCUCGAUGUUGGACUAGGUACUAUACCCUUAAGGCAAGGAUAUAUUGUGCUCUGUUCGAGCAAAAUUACCUACAUGAUCUGAGUUCAGACCGG
rnacentral:rRNA from 1 species